UACGUAGGGUGCGAGCGUUGUCCGGAAUUACUGGGCGUAAAGAGCUCGUAGGUGGUUUGUCGCGUUGUUCGUGAAAACUCACAGCUUAACUGUGGGCGUGCGGGCGAUACGGGCAGACUGGAGUACUGCAGGGGAGACUGGAAUUCCUGGUGUAGCGGUGGAAUGCGCAGAUAUCAGGAGGAACACCGGUGGGCGAAGGCGGGGUCUCUGGGCAGUAACUGACGCUGGAGGAGCGAAAAGCGUGGGGGAGCGAACAGG
rnacentral:rRNA from 1 species